CUGGGACCUCUGCUACCCUCCCUAAAAUCAGGACUGCAAUGCUUAUGGGCAUCCAGGAGGCAGUUUUUGUGCCUGGCAGGCCCUGUUGGGACUGAGCUAAAAGGAGAAGAAAACAUUUUCUACAAGGCAAGUGCGAUCGGCUUCUUCCCAAACAAGUCACUGAAUAAUUUAGAAAGAGUUAGACUGAAGAGUUGCAGGCUGUUGUUAUACCAAUUCUAUUAGUUUCAUGCAAUUCCUUGGACUUGUUUAAACACAGGAAAUAUGUUAAGAACCUCAAGAAACACAAAUCAGUCCUAUUUUCACACUGUGUGUUCUGAUGCUUGUUAAGAUAUACUUAUCAACUUAGUGCUAGGUAAAUAUUAAAUAACAGUUAUCAAUACACAUAAGCAAAACCAAACAUGUGUCAUUUAGAAACAAGAUACAGAGAUUUAACAAAAUGCAUUUAACAAAUUUUAGAGUAUGUGUGUUCCAUUUUGUUAACAACAAAACAACUCACUAAUUUUUAAUAGACAUUUUGAUGGGUAAAAGGCUUUUUGAGACCCCUGCUGACAGCAGAGGAGAACUGCAUCCAGAUGUUCAUUACUUACUAGAAACUGAAUACCUAAUUCUCCUCAUUAACUGAGACAUCAUAAAUAUGUGUCAUUUUUGAGAUGUGGAAGAUACAUUCCUAUAAGAUAAACAUAUAAAUGUAAAUUAUUGAAAGAAGGCUAUUUACAUAGGGGUUUUUUUUGCUUAAGGUUUAUAGGUCUCUUAAAAUUGCUACAUGUGUUACAUAAUUUCAAAUUCAUAUUUUGGUUUAUUUUUUAAAAGCAUGAAAACUAUAGAACUCUUCAGAAACGUAUCUAUUGUGAGAAAAAGAAUACUUAGAAUUUUCAAAGAUGCGGUAUUCUAAUAAAAAAUAACAAUGCUAAUUUUAUCUGAAAAAUACAUGUACCUCAAUAAUUUUAUCAAGGGCAUGUUUUGUGCUAGAUACUACUCUUUAUGUUAGGAAUAUAAGCAAUUGUAUAAGAUACUUACAGAUUGCAGUAAGUGGUAAAAAAUAUAACAUGAAGAGGGAAUAGUGAUGAGAAGGUAACUAUAUAGGGGAGUGGUCAGGGAGUGCUUCACUGAAGAUGUAAAAUAUGAACUGAAACCUAUAUCCUGAUUUAAAAUAGCUUUGCAGAUGUUUUAGGUAAAUAGCAGCAAGCGAACAAUACCAAAGAGGGAAUCAGAGCUAUUUCCAUGAAUUAAUGUCUUAAUCCCCACAACAAUGAGGUCGUGGUCAUCUAGUUGUAGAAUGACUCCUGCCUGCUACAUUUCCCCAGAUACCCAGGACCUUCAUGCUGUCACUCUCCAUGACCUGACCAACAUCUAUUUUGAGAAAUUAUUUUAUAUACUCAUUCAAACAGGUUACUUAUUGGUUAUUUAGAAAUUCUGGAUAAAGACUCACAAGUCAAGCGGGGGUGAUGGAAGAUAUUGAAAUGUCUCCCCGUG
rnacentral:lncRNA from 1 species